UCGAGGAUCUUCGUCAAUGGGGGAAACCCUGAACGAGCGAUGCCGCGUGAGCGAUGAAGGCCUUCGGGUUGUAAAGCUCAAAAGAGGUGAGAAAGGGAAACUUGAUCAAACCUCAGUAAGCUCGGGCUAAGUUCGUGCCAGCAGCCGCGGUAAGACGUAGGGUGCAAGCGUUGUCCGGAAUUAUUGGGCGUAAAGAGUUCGUAGGCGGUGAUGUAAGUCUGAUGUUAAAGACCAGAGCUCAACUUUGGCAUGGCAUUGGAAACUACAUUGCUAGAGUGCUGUAGAGGUAAAGGGAAUUCCCGGUGUAGCGGUGAAAUGCGUAGAUAUCGGGAGGAACAUCAGUGGCGAAGGCGGCCCUCUGGUCCAGUACUGACACUCAAGUGCGAAAGCGUGGGGAGCAAACAGGAUUAGAUACCCGCGUAGUCCCUGAGCGGGCUGGCAAGGCGCAU
rnacentral:rRNA from 1 species